AAAGAGAAUAUUUGAGGUAUAAAAGGGGAAAUUUGCUUCAUGCAAAGCAUCUCCACGCUUGAAUUUCUCUAACGUAAACUCCUUUAAGACCAGCCUAGAAAAUAUAAACGUGGGAAAGGAGUUAUUUGCUUUAUGCAAGAAAAAGAAAAUCUCCUACUUAUUUCUCUACCCACGGCCACCAUGGCCUGCAAAGAGAACAUUUGAGGGGUUGAAGGAGAUAUGAUUCACAUGCUAAUUUCAUCUUUUUUUUUAACCUCAUCCUUCAAGUCCUGUAUCUUGUGACAGAGAAAACAUACUAUUCUUGGCGUGAAAAGGAGAAAUUUUCUUCCUGCCAAAUUAUCCCCUUUAUUUUGCCACCAAAGGCUUUGCCUUCCAUAGCCUUUCAAUUAGGAGAGAAAAGAAAAUAUUUGGGACUAAAGAAAAGGGCAAAGGUUUUAUCAUGCCAACAAACAUCCUCCUUCUCACAUCACCUCAGGCCUUUAAGGCCCUUCAGUUGAGAGUUGAGAUGACAAAGGAGGAAUGUGCUUCUUGCCAGUCAAUCUGCCAUGUAUUUUUCCACCUUAGGUCUUCAAGGCCUUUUACUAGAUGGUGGAGACGGACUAACUGGAUUUCAAAACAGAGAGACUAGAUCCAUGCACAUUCUAACUGGCUCCAUGCAGAUAGCUAACUGUGUGUCCUCCUGAGCUGUCUUCAGGCUCCACCCCUGGUCUUUAUGGCUUGGGCUGUUGCAGAGAGCACAGAGGUAGGAAUGUAGGUGAAGAGCUUCAUGCUAAUCCCCAACCCCGUAAUCCCUGAAAGGGUUUUCACUUUGUCCUUCCACUCUGCCUGCUCUUCCCUCGCAACCUUGGACCAAGUCAACAAACCACUCUGUGGCACCUAACCAGAUUCAGCAUCCUAAGAGCUGAGGUGGUUUGGUGUGGAAAUGAUGGAGAAUGGAACAGGGCCAGCUAGCACUACUCAAGAAAAGCUCCGUUUCUUCCAUCGAGUGUUCACCUCUAGAAGAGUAGAGAAUGAAGGAAAAUCCAAUGAUGGUUGGGUUUGGAGAAAAUCCGGCUACCGGUUAAGAGAAAACUGUUCUGGACCUGAGGUUCAGUCUGGAGCCUCUGGUCCAGGAUGUUAGAGGGUGAUAAAAGAAAAUUUGAGGUGGAGGAGGAGGGGUUUUGCAUCAGCCAAAUUCUUGCAAAACUUAACUUCAUACAAAACAGCCUCUCCUCAGCUGAUCUCUUGUCUUGGGUCUUCAAGGCCCUGGAGGGAGUAGGGAGAAAGUAGCUUCCGGCAAAAAGCUCCCCUUUGGUACAUCAACUCCCGUCCUGGCUACUCUGGCCUUUGUGGUGGGUGGUGGGGAAGGGGGGAAAUCUGCAAAUAAUCUGUACAGGGGCAAACGGGAGAUUCUCUUCAUGCAGAACCUCCUGAAAAACAUGGUCCAGCUAUGAAAGAAAUCCCCAGUUGGCCUUUAUGGCUGCACUUCUGGACCAAGAAAUUAUCCUCAUAGAUGGUCUGGGAUAUUUCUCUUGUGAGCCUUCUGGAUUUCAGAGGGGUUGGGGCUGAACCCAUUUGACCUUAUAGCCUCAUUUUCCAUGUUCGUAAACUGUCCAGUUUGAUAGGGAAAUACCUUUCAAAAUUCUGUAGUGUUAUGUCAGGACUACAAUUUCAAACCUGCAUGACAAAAGCACAACAGAGAGAACUCCUUGUCCUCCUCUAAGUCCUUAUUAACCAACUCAGUGUUCAAUGGAAUGUUAUGUUUCUCUCACUCAAAAGAUAUGAAACUACUAAAAGCCUUAUGCAGUCCAUCACACCAGCAUUUCAAAUGUCAAUAAAAUAGCUAAAUAAAAUAAAAAUAAACAUAAAACACAACUAAAGGUAGCACAAUAAAAUACGAUAAAAUAGUUUAAAAUAAAAAUUAAUACUAAAAUAAUUAACAUUUAAAAUGACAUAUAAAUCCAUGCAACACUCAUUCCAUUGAACAUAGACGUUUGGGAUAUCUUAGGACAAAAAAAAUACCAAGCAUUGAAAAGCCAAAAAUUGGUGAGGUCUAUCUCUCUGCAUUUUCUACCGUGAUUAGAUGAAUGUCUUUAUGACCGCAAACUGACUAUAACACUAUAGACGCACCCAAAACCUCAAGGGAGAAUUCUGUCCAAUUUCCAAGCAAUUUUACCUCAUACGCUUUUGUUCUAAGAAUGCCUGUCACACUGAGUAUUUUGUUCUCAAGGUUUUAAACCUGUACAGAUUUGGGGGGCUCCUACUCCCGGCUGGAUCUUGGAUCUGUGGUAGGCACCGGUAGGAGCAGAGGUAAGUGCCGGGGGGCCCGAAGGUAGAAAUGCACUAAUUCCCGUGAAGGGUGGGUUUGAGGGAUAUCCUCAGGGUGGCCCUGGGAGCUGGCAAGUGUCACCAUGAUGAAUGUCAGUGUAUUUACACCUGCCUUUGCUUUUCUACUUCCGAAUCUGCUGGUAGGAUCUUUUUGUUCCCCACAUACAGCAGAGAGAAUCAGUGAUCCCAGAUCUGGGGGAAAAAAUGAAGUGAAGGUUCAGCUGGUGGACCAAGAAGGAGAAUUGACGCGACACAAUCCCAUCUGCCUUUGGAGGCGCGGCCUCUGUCCCUGCGGCCCCUUCCUGCAGUUGGCGGGGGUGGGGAGGGGAAGCAGGGACAGCCUGGUGAGAGGGGACCAGGGAAGGAGGGAGGUGAGGGGCCAGGCCUGAGGCGGUGGGACGGGAGAUCUAAGCCCAUGGUGGCACUGCCACUAGGUGCCCCCUGACCCUCAGUGUGAAGCCUGCUGCAGGGGGGACGGUGGCAGUGCAGAGGAGGGAGUGGCAGGGAGGAGGGUGUUGCCGGGGACCCCUUCUCUCACUUUUCCCCUCUUUGCCUCCCCUUGUUUUUCUCCAGCCACUUCCAUUUCUCCUCCUUCCCUUUCUUCCCUAAAAUAAAAGUCAAAACCAUUGCUUCCACAGCAUCCCAGCAUUCAGGGACCACAGCUCUCCAGCCGAGCCAGCCCUAAGUUCCUCCUGGACCCUCCACAGCGGAAGGGAAACCAUCGAGAAGCCCUCUUGACUCCACUCCAACACCACACAACCCGAAGACCCAAGCCUCAGGAGGGAAACCAUCCCGAAGCCUUCCUGACUCUACCCCAGCCCCUCACCACCCCAGACCCAAGUGUCAUGAGGGAAACAAUCCCAAAGCCCUUCUGACUGCACCCCAACCCCACCCAACCCUAGACCCAAGCCUUUGGAUGCCUUCUUGGGCGUGAAGCUAUUUAUGACUACAACCUGUCCCUGCAGCCCUUUACUGCGGGGGUGGGGAGGGGAAGCGGGGACAGUCCGG